ensembl:lncRNA
UGUCAUCGUACAGCAACUGAUUCCCUGUCCGUCUGGAACAAAGCAUUUACAUUAAAAAAGACAUUUACAGAAAAUACAAACACCAACAACACAUCUCAUCAUCACAUGAUAUUUUAUUAUUUAUUAUAUUAUAUAUUUUUAUUGUACCAUCAACAUCAACAAAUACCAGCAUAUUUUCUUUGAGAUUGAGUAGAGUGGACCUUUCCCUUGGUUCACUUCCUGCUCGCAGCAUCAGCUGACCUCUGACUUCCUGGUUAAGGUCUCUCAGCGUUGACUGGAAUAUCAAAUCAGACUCACACCAUGUUCUUGUAAUGUGGUCAUGUCUGUCAGCUGUUUGAAGAGCAUCUCUGGCCUAAACACAAUAGGAAGAACAACAACACGGCUAAAAAAAAACAACACAUUUCCAUAUUAGAUGAAGGGCGCCGUAACUGGAAAUGGUAACAUUCAUCUGAUGCUGCUUUGGAUUUAUCUUCUGUUUUAGAUCAACUUUGAUCACUUCGAGCCAUCUUAAGUCCGUUUGUUCUAACUUCUCACUAACAUCUCGUAUGAUUUCAGAUCCCUGCUGUUCCUCACCUGCCCUGUAGGUGGCCUCAGUGUGUCUCACACCAUUUACAGAUGAUUACAGGUCGUUUACAGUUCAAACAGAUGUUGGACCAAAGUGAAGCUUUAGUUUGGGCAGCUGCUGAAGGAGAGGAACAUUGCGUUCAGGUCUGGCAACAGGGAUUACUACACCACAGCCCGAUCCAACCUGAAGAGAGGCAUCAGAGAGGCAAAGGGGGACUAUAGGAGGAGGAUCGAGGACCAUUUGAAGAGUAAUACCAGCUGGCAGGUGUGGCAAGGCAUCCAGCACCUAACCAACUAUAAGAUCAAUCUCGGAGCUGCGGACGGUGACCUGGAGCUGGCAGAGGAGCUGAAUAUCUUCUUUGCCCGCUUUGAGACCAGGGUACCGGAGGUAUUGGAGCCACAGCAGCAACACGCCACCCAUAGCAGCACCACCCUCACCCUGGAAGAGCACGAGGUGAGGCGCAUGCUGCAGGCUGUUAACCCGAGGAAGGCGGCG